rnacentral:rRNA from 1 species
GACGAACGCUGGCGGCGUGCUUAACACAUGCAAGUCGAACGGAAAGGCCCUGCUUUUGUGGGGUGCUCGAGUGGCGAACGGGUGAGUAACACGUGAGUAACCUGCCCUUGACUUUGGGAUAACUUCAGGCAACUGGGGCUAAUACCGGAUAGGAGCUCCUGCUGCAUGGUGGGGGUUGGAAAGUUUCGGCGGUUGGGGAUGGACUCGCGGCUUAUCAGCUUGUUGGUGGGGUAGUGGCUUACCAAGGCUUUGACGGGUAGCCGGCCUGAGAGGGUGACCGGCCACAUUGGGACUGGUAGACGGCCCAGACUCCUACGGGAGGCAGCAGUGGGGAAUAUUGCACAAUGGGCGGAAGCCUGAUGCAGCAACGCCGCGUGCGGGAUGACGGCCUUCGGGUUGUAAACCGCUUUCGCCUGUGACGAAGCGUGAGUGACGGUAAUGGGUAAAGAAGCACCGGCUAACUACGUG